UCAGGAACAACGCCACCUGCAUUCAGGAGGGAUGGAGCUCUGUGAUGGCACACGUGGGGAGUGGGAGAGCCAUGGAGACCACUGCCUUUUUAAUACAUCAGUUUGUGAUCAGCAGAAGAGCAGAUCAAGCCACCAUCACACCAGCCCAUGGUCCUAGAGCUGUAAUGUACCUUCACUAUGGAAACUGAUGAGCUGCUGCGCCAGCUGCUAAAGGGAUUAGUGGUUGAAUUUUCAGUUCCAACUUGUUUGAAGAGGAAUGAGCUGGUGAAAGAAUUUAAGGGCACUUGUGAAACGCAAAAUGUUGCCUGCCUAUGGAAUGGCCCAGAAAGGAAACAUCCGUGAGGAUCUGUGGCUCAGAUAUUCCACACUGCCUGAACAGAAUAAUGAAACACUUCUCCUGAGAUUUACGAGCCUGGAAAAUAGACUGCAGACUGCCAUCAAGGCCUGAAAAUACUACAGACUGUAGCUGGAGUCUCUAGUACAUCUCUUUUUAUACGAGCAAUACGGGGUGGGAGUACUGGGAAGGAAUCAGAGAUGAAGUGUAAAUGCAAACGCAGAAUAUAAACAUAUUCUUUACUGUCAUGAGGCUCCCAAGCUGUGGUUGUGGAAGAGGUUUUAUCUUUCUAGUGCAAAUUCCCUGGUCCUUUUGUUUUGUUUUUAUAACUGAAUACUACCUCCAACUUCC